GACGAACCGUGCGAACGUUGUUCGGAUUCACUGGGCUUAAAGGGCGCGUAGGCGGGUGACCAAGUCCGGGGUGAAAUCUUUCGGCUCAACCGGAAAAGUGCCUUGGAUACUGGUCGUCUCGAGGGAGGUAGGGGCAUGCGGAACUUCCGGUGGAGCGGUGAAAUGCGUAGAUAUCGGGAAGAACACCCGUGGCGAAGGCGGCUCUCUGGGACGGUACUGACGCUGAGACGCGAAAGCGUGGGGAGCGAACAGG
rnacentral:rRNA from 1 species